rnacentral:rRNA from 1 species
UACGGAGGAUCCAAGCGUUAUUCGGAGUGACUGGGCGUAAAGAGUUGCGUAGGGGGUUUGUUAAGCAAAUAGUGAAAUCUUGUGGCUCAACCAUGAGGCUAUUAUUUGAACUGGCAGACUUGAGAAUAUGAGAGGUAGAUGGAAUUUCUAGUGUAGGAGUGAAAUCCGUAGAUAUUAGAAGGAACACCAAUGGCGUAGGCAGUCUACUGGCAUAUUUCUGACCCUGAGGCACGAAAGCGUGGAGAGCGAACCGG